GUGCCAGCCGCCGGGGUAAUACCGGCAGCCCGAGUGAUGGCCGAUCUUAUUGGGCCUAAAGCGUCCGUAGAUGGCUGCGCAAGUCCGUCGGGAAAUCCACUCGCCCAAAGAGUGGGCGUCCGACGGAAACUGCACAGCUUGGGUACGGAAGGCUCGAAGGGUACGUACUGGGUAGGAGUGAAAUCCCAUAAUCCCGCACGGACCACCGAUGGCGAAAGCACUUCGAGAAAACGGAUCCGACAGUGAGGGACGAAAGCCAGGGUCUCCAACCGGAUUAGAUACCCCAGUAGUCC
rnacentral:rRNA from 1 species